UACAAAUAUUUCUGUGACAAUUCGCAUUGUAAGUAAUAUAAUAUAAGUAUAGUACUAUAAACAGUAAUAAAAUUGAUUUAAGAAAAUAUUACUGGAAUUAAAAUAAAUUAUACGCAUAAAGAGGACAUAGAAAACUAGGCAUUCUCUCUACGAAGUUUUCUCUGUGAUCGUUAUUAAAAGUGUCUUCUGUCAUUUUGUGAUGUAUGAUGUAUAUGUCGUUCAUUCAAACAUGGAUUGUUUAAAUGAGGAAAUUUGGAAAAAUUGGGAAAAAGUUGGCAAAAACGAAUUUACGAAGCUUUGUGUGCAAUUAGUUAAGGAUGACACACGUAGUCCCCUAUUUGAUAAAAAUGAGAAGUUGACUGAAAUCACAACACUGUUGAAUAUUUUAGUUGAAAAAGGUCUUCAAGGAGUUAUCAAGAAAGAGUCUGUUGUUGGUGUGUUGCAAGAAUUAGUGAUCCUCCAUAACGAUAUUCCUUCACUAAUACUAGAUGUUUUAAACAUAGCUGAUGCAUCAUCAGCUCAAGUUGAUAAUUCAUCAGAGGAAUCAAAAGAAAGAAAUAUAUUUUGUUAUAUUAUCAAAGAAUGUGAGAAGUUCAUUUCAGAUAAGUUAUUGAAAGAAAGAUUAGAAAUUGAUACCCUGCAAGAAGUUGGUAUCUUAAAAAAUAGAGCAUUUUACUCAAAAUUUAUCAAAGUUAAAACAAAGUUAUACUACAAACAAAAAAAAUUCAAUCUCUUUCGUGAGGAAUGUGAGGGUUUUUCAAAGCUCAUUACAGAGUUGAAUCAGGAAUUUGGCGAAAGUACAAACAAUGAAAGAAUUUUAGGAAUAGUUCAAUCGCUCAUUGGUUGCUUCAAUUUGGAUCCUAACAGGGUAUUAGAUAUUUUGUUAGAAAGCUUUGAGAACAAACCAAAUGAUGCGAACUUAUUUAUUCCUCUUAUCAAAUCUUAUAUGAAUGACCCGAAAAUCAUUAGCGAAGUUUUGGGCUCUAAAUAUAGCUUUCUGAGGAGUAGUGAGAAUGGCGCUCCAAAAUCUCUUCAUGUUCUCACAGCUCAAUUAUUGCAGAACUCUAUCAUAUCUCUGGAAGACAUAUACCCCUGGUUAACUCCAGAUGAUAAAAUUAUGCAAAAAGAGUGUGAAAAGAAUAUGAAGGAAGCCAAAGAAUAUUUCAGAAAGUUACAAGUAAUAUCAGUUAAUAAGACUGAAAAAGAAGAAACUCCAGAAGAACCGGAAAACCCCAUUGAAAAGUAUAAAUCAAACCAGAAGCUGGGUUUAUGUGAAGCGUUACUUUUGAUAGCAGAUUGGGAUAAUGCAAAAACAUUGAUCGAUCAUUUGCCAGAACAUUACGCUGUUAGUUUUGAACCAAUCGCGUUGGCAUUAUGUAACUUACUACAUUAUGUGAUCGAACCAGUUUAUAGAGAAAACUUCAGAAUAAGUCCCAAAUUCAAAGGAAAACCGAUUCCUCCGCAUAAAAAUCCUAAAGCCCCAAAGGCGGCCCAUACUUUUGAAGAUUUACGUCAAAACGCAUUUCCGAUGCUAAUGACCUUAGCACCUUCGUUACAGCACGAUACCGUUCUUAUGUGCAAAGUGAUCAGAUUGGCCAAGGCGAUACUGAGUUCUUACGGCGUAGAAAAUGCCAAAAGCGAAGUUACAGAGGAUAAAAUGCUCUAUUAUGACAUUUUAAGCUUACUCGAUAUAACCAUUUUACCUUCAUUAUCCUAUUUAGACUGCAAUUGUUGCAUUGCCGAAGAGAUAUGGACUUUAUUGAGGCUCUAUCCUUAUCAAAUACGAUAUUGUUUGUAUAACAGAUGGAAAAACGACACCUACAUGAUUUAUCCCGAUCUGCUCAAGAAAAGAGGGGAUUCCGAAAAGCAAAUUAAAAACAUCAUGAAACGUGUAAGCAAGGAAAAUGUAAAGCCAGUUGGAAGAUCAAUAGGAAAACUGACACAUUGCUCACCUGGUUUUUUAUUUGACUAUGUGCUCUUACAAAUUCAAGUAUACAAUAAUCUCAUACAUCCGGUGGUUGAUUCUCUGAAAUAUUUGACCAGUUUAUCGUACGACGUUUUGGGAUAUUGUUUGAUUGAAUGUUUGGCAAACGCUGAUAAGAAGAGGGUAAAACACGAUAGCACGUCCAUUUCGACUUGGCUUCAAAGUUUGUCCUGUUUCUGUGGCGCUAUUUACAAAAAGUACAAUAUUGAAUUGUCGGGGUUGUUGCAGUAUGUGGCCAACCAACUUAAAGCUCAAAAAAGUUUAGAUUUACUUAUCCUAAAAGAAGUUGUUCAAAAGAUGGCUGGUAUCGAGUCGGCAGAAGAUCUUACUAUCGAACAAUUGAGUGCUAUGGCAGGUGGGGAAUUAUUGAGAGCUGAGGCUGGUUAUUUCGGUCAAGUUAGAAACACAAAAAAAUCCUCUCUGCGGCUUAAGGAAGCCAUGGCAGAUCAAAAUUUGGCGGUUUCCUUGUGUCUACUGAUGGCCCAACAGAAGUAUUGUGUUGUUUAUAAAGAGACCCAGCAAAGCCACUUGAAAUUAGUCGGGAAGCUUUCUGAUCAGUGUCAGGAUACGCUGGUACAGUUCGGAAACUUCCUAGGUUCUACGAUGUCUGUCGAUGAAUACGUUAAUAAAUUACCCAGUAUUCAAAGUAUGCUGUUGAAUUAUCAUAUCCCCAACGAAGUUGCCUUUUUUCUAGCCAGACCAAUGUUCAAUCAUGAAAUCAAUAUAAAAUAUGACCAACUUAGAAAAGCAGACGCAAAUUAUAAAAAACUUUCCACGAGUGUAAAGCAUCAGAAAUAUUUCGAAGCUGUAAACGAGGUUAUGCAACCAGUUCACAAGUCUUUGACGCCACUCCAUCCUCCCAAAAUAUGGGAAGACAUUUCCACGCAAUUCUUAGCUACUUUCUGGUCCUUAACGAUGUACGAUUUGUGCAUUCCCGAAGACACAUACUUGGAAGCAGUGAAUAAGCUGAAACAACAGAGUAUCUCGAUUCUGGAUUCGGGCAGCAAUAAAGGCAAAAAAGAACAAGAAAGGCACGCAACCCUAAUAGAAAAACUUCAAGAUGAGAAGAAGAAACAAUCGGAACAUGUAGAUAAGGUUAUGUACAGAUUGAAGCAGGAAAAAGAUCAUUGGUUUGUGUCCAAAACCGCUAAAACUGCUAAGAACGAAACUAUCACCAGAUUUCUACAGCUGUGUCUGUUUCCAAGAUGUACAUUCACCGCUAUCGAUGCACUCUAUUGUGCUAAAUUUGUUCACGUCAUUCAUAUGCUGAAAACUCCGAAUUUUUCUACUCUCCUCUGUUAUGACCGCCUUUUCUGUGAUAUAACCUACUCUGUUACCUCAUGCACUGAAAAUGAAGCAAUGCGAUAUGGUAGAUUCUUAUAUGCUAUGUUAGAAACUGUUAUGCGUUGGCACAAGUCUAAAGAUGUAUUCGAGAAAGAAUGUGCCAACUAUCCCGGUUUCGUAACAAAAUUCCGAGUCAGCAACCAACAUGCGGACAAUAUGGAUAAUGUUGGUUAUGAAAACUACAGACAUGUUUGCCACAAAUGGCAUUAUAAACUUGCAAAGGCGAUGGUUACUUGCCUAGAAUCCAAGGAUUAUAUACAGAUAAGGAAUGCUCUGAUCAUUUUGAUUAAAAUCAUUAAUUACUUCCCAGUACUGAUCAAGUUAAGUCAAUUUGUCGAGAAAAGAAUCGAGAAAGUUAGGGACGAAGAGAAAAAUAAUAGACAAGAUCUCUUCACAUUAUCCAGUAGUUAUUUGGCGCUACUGAAACAAAGAAUUGCUAGUGGUAAUAUGGUCAAAGAAGGAGAUUUUCAUAUCAUCAUUGAAAAGGUCUCAAAGGUGCAGCACGAACAAAAGACAUCAAAUUCCAGUACAAAACAUAAUGGAGAAACUAAAGAUGACAAGGAAAAAAGAUCUAGUAAACAGUCAGAUGAAGUUAAAACUGUUACGAAAACAGAGAAUUCAGAACAAAAUGGUUCAAAGGAUAAAGCAGAUAAAAUUUAUAAGGAAGAAAUAAGAGAGAAACACCGCAAGGAAGACAAACAAAGAGACGAUGCCGAAAAAGAAAGAGAGAGAGAAAAAAGAAGAGAAAGGAAAGAGGAGAAACUUCUUAAGCAAGACGAUUGGCAAUAUAAAGAGGAAAGAGAUAGAUAUCAAGAUGGAGGUCUCAAAGAUGAAGCAAGAUAUUCUAAUGAAAGAUCAGUAGAACGUUAUUACGAUGACAGAGGAACACCCCAUUAUUAUAGAGAUGUGAGGGAUGACCGAGAUUUGGCUAUUGGAAAUAACGGAUCAGCAAAUAUGGGACGACAUUCACAAGAUACUGAUCCUGACAGAGAAGCUAAAAGGAGAAAAUUGGAUGGAUCUUCCAAGGUUAGUAUCGAGGUCACUUAGCAUCGGUGCAGAUUUCAGGGACUCAUCCGAACAUGGGGUUAUCUCCAGUGAUGUUAAUCCUCUGGAAGGUUGGGCUGUGUUUUGUUAUCGAAUCAGUGUUUUAAUUUAAAAAAAAAAAGGUGUGGACAAUUCAAGAGAAGAACUAUUUUUAAUUUACAAAUGGAGGCGGUGUUUUUGUAGUCGUUAUGGAGCUUUGUUGUUGCAAGACUAGAAUUCUUGUCGCUAUGAUUUUAAGAAGUGGCUGAAUUUGAAAUUUUUUCCUGAUGAACAUUGAAGUUCAGCAAUUAUAUUGAAUACUAAAGAUAUUCAGAAAAGUGCCGAUGAUGAAAUCAAUCAUGAGAUGGAGUCCUAGAAGUUUUUGUGCCUUUCUAAAUAAGGUUUUUAAAUAUGGCUAUGGAGUUUUGGAAAACCAAGACGAGAACUUAAUCAGGCUUAUGUCCGUAUAUAUCUAAGCUUCAAACAAAUUUUCUAACCACCAGAAGGUUUACUUCACUGAAUAGAUCAGAGGAUCAAAAUGAAGAUGACGUAUUUUUGUAAUUUGACUUCACUUUCAACCGUUUUACAAGCAUUCGUUUGUUGUUCAUCUGGAGGAUGAGGCGCUAACAGAAAUAUUGCUUGAGAAAAUUGAUUUCACUUUGUAAAGAUGCACCAGAAAUUGACAGUGACUUAUCCAUGAUUAUAGAAACUUUUGGUCCAAACUAGUAACGUCUAAACUUAUAAUAAGGAGAUAAAUUAUCCAGCGAUCUUGUAAAUAAGAAGUCAUUCCGUAGAAUGUAAAGUGAACGAUGAGAUUCCUUGAAAAAUAUGGAAAUAAAUAUACCAAUUUCAUCGAGGCCGUAAUCAGCAGCAGAACCUAAGAAAUCUGUCGGGAAGCAGUGACCAGAACGGGGAGAAUCAUUCAUAUUCGCAUCCGAUAUCGAUUCCUAGAUUCUUCAGAGAUCGUCUCGUCAGUCUCGUGCCUUACUUCGUUAGCAGUUUUUAUCUGUUCUAAAAACUUUUGUGUGGACCUCCAAAGUGUAUCUUAGCCCAAUCUUCCAUUGUGAAUUUUAAUUCUGCCAACCGGUUUCAAGAGCGGCAGCAGAUUGAAGUAGAGGCUGCCGCAAUCUUCAAGCCACGCCCUUCAGGAUCUAAUGUCAAACUACCCAUUGUGUGUCUACAGAGCUCAAAGCAUGAAGAACGAUCCAAAGUCCAACAUCCACAAUUCGAUUAUGUAGGAGAAAAGGUUGAGAAGAAAGAGAGAACGGUAAAAA